AUGAGGUAAUCACUGUGUUGAAAUCAGAGACAACAGACUCGGCUCUACUGGGGGCCCACUAUGGUUUCAGUGGACCGGAGAGGGUGCUCCGUGCCCUGCAGAGAGACUCCCUCCAGGCCCAGCAGGACCACCUGGAGGAUGUGUACGAAAAACCAAUUGCUAAGCUUAACCACGUGGUGGAGGCCCAUAAGUGCUCAUCCAAACGGAUGCUGGAACGGCUUGUAGAGGUGUCCGGCUUUCACAGCAGCACCCUACACAGGCUAGAGGAGCAAGAGAGGAGCCACAGGGCUUUUAUUCACAAGAGCAACUGCCUUACCACUCUACUGGAGCAGGACAGAGAAAGAUUCCUCUGGGGUCACUGCAGAAGCCAACAAAGAUUCCCAAGACCAAAGGAUAUGCCACAAACAGAAGAAGCAACAUAGUUCUCAAUACAGGACAGAAAAACAGAAAACCUCCCACAGUGCAUACAGG